rnacentral:misc_RNA from 1 species
AAAUAAAAGUGAAAUUUUUUUUAUGGCACUUUUAAAACAAUCCAUAUCCACCUUGUGUGCAAUGUUUUUUGAAAGAAGUCUUGUAACAGAGGCUUUUUUUCUUUUAACUUAUUACAAACUCAUUUUAUAAAGAAAUCUCGUCUGAUAAUAUAAUAUUAUUGAAUAACUUAAUUCAUAAAUA